GCUCCGGUGGCCUAGUGGUUAGAGCGUCCGCCUCGGAUGCGGGGAUUCGUGGAUUCGAACCCUGGUUGAGUCA